rnacentral:lncRNA from 1 species
GAAAAAUACUGUUGAUUCCACAUGAAUCAUAGAAAUGAAGGCUUGGAUAGGAUCUCGAGGGUAGAGAACACAGGCUGCAGGGACUCACUGCUUCUCCCUGGCCAAGGAUUUCUCAUCAGCAUGGCUCCAGAAGAAUUGCAGCAGAGCCAAUCCCUUUGCCAUCGCCUUUUGCAGCCCCUGUCCCAGCGGUAUCUUGGGCAGCUGGAGUCCAGAAAUCUCCCACUGGCAAAUGACCCCUGGAAGCCACAGACAAACGGUACAGUAUUAGUUUAAGGACUAAGAACAUUUUCUCCAAAGUCACACUGCAAUUGGCCAUAGGACUAAGGUGCCUUAAAGAGGUCCUUGUACUAGCAGAAGCUCAAUUUUCAUGAGGCACUGUUCCUCCUUAGUGUUAAUCCUUUGACUGCGUAUUCUGUAUGUCAAUAGCGUUAUCAUAAUCUUAACAAGAACAGCGUCAUCAUGCACAUCUUUCCAGCAAUGCAUGGAAGAGAAGCACCUUAAAACUGCUUAUUAUUAAAGCCUGCCUAUGUUGAAGGCAUAUUGCCCAUUUGCUAACACUUCCUAGAUGAGGCAGCAAUCAACCUUUGUUUUGUGUCAAGCUUUGAACUUGCCAGAGCUGUGGAAGACAGUUCAUCUUUGUCAGAGAUGUUUGACUGAAAGCCUUUUUGCUUGUUUCUUGGUUAAAAGCUUAGCUUUUACCAAAGUGAGUUGGAAAUAGUUUCUGAAGUGAAAGGGCAGUCUUGCUGAAGUCUAUGGAAAACACUGAUUCCACAAACCUGAAAUGACUUGCAAGGAUCCCUCCAGAUGUACAGCAUAUGGAAGGUGCUAGACAAUACCAGAGUCUCUUAAAUGCAAGCAGAGGUGCUUGUAUUAUUUAUGCUCUAGACUCCAUUAGUUUUCCAAAUUAAUAUGUGGUGAUUUCAAAUGCACUUUCUGUGACAGCAUACGCUGGUCACCUGAGAAAAUAUUAACCAUUUUUCUACAGUUUCAAUUCUACAGAGUCAUUGUUCUGCCAUUUCUGUCUUCACAGUGGGUGAAGGCUUACCCACUGGUGACAUUGCAACAUGAUAGACUGUUACCAGAUCCUUGCUAGACGCACUAAGAAUGUGUUUAAAGAAUUAAGUUAAUAAAGAAAUAGGAACUCAGUGGCGGAAAAUAGUA